UCCUUCCAGAGCUGGACAGGGU
rnacentral:snRNA from 1 species